rnacentral:rRNA from 1 species
AUACGUCCUACGGGAGAAAGCAGGGGAUCUUCGGACCUUGCGCUAAUAGAUGAGCCUAAGUCGGAUUAGCUAGUUGGUGGGGUAAAGGCCUACCAAGGCGACGAUCUGUAGCGGGUCUGAGAGGAUGAUCCGCCACACUGGGACUGAGACACGGCCCAGACUCCUACGGGAGGCAGCAGUGGGGAAUAUUGGACAAUGGGCGCAAGCCUGAUCCAGCCAUGCCGCGUGUGUGAAGAAGGCCUUUAUGGUUGUAAAGCACUUUUAAGCGAGGAGGAGGCUACUUUUAGUUAAUACCUAGAGAUAGUGGACGUUACUCGCAGAAUAAGCACCGGCUAACUCUGUGCCAGCAGCCGCGGUAAUACAGAGGGUGCAAGCGUUAAUCGGAUUUACUGGGCGUAAAGCGCGCGUAGGCGGCUAAUUAAGUCAAAUGUGAAAUCCCCGAGCUUAACUUGGGAAUUGCAUUCGAUACUGGUUAGCUAGAGUGUGGGAGAGGAUGGUAGAAUUCCAGGUGUAGCGGUGAAAUGCGUAGAGAUCUGGAGGAAUACCGAUGGCGAAGGCAGCCAUCUGGCCUAACACUGACGCUGAGGUGCGAAAGCAUGGGGAGCAAACAGGAUUAGAUACCCUGGUAGUCCAUGCCGUAAACGAUGUCUACUAGCCGUUGGGGCCUUUGAGGCUUUAGUGGCGCAGCUAACGCGAUAAGUAGACCGCCUGGGGAGUACGGUCGCAAGACUAAAACUCAAAUGAAUUGACGGGGGCCCGCACAAGCGGUGGAGCAUGUGGUUUAAUUCGAUGCAACGCGAAGAACCUUACCUGGGCCUUGACAUAGUAAGAACUUUCCAGAGAUGGAUUGGUGCCUUCGGGAACUUACAUACAGGUGCUGCAUGGCUGUCGUCAGCUCGUGUC